UUGCAAAUAUAUGAAUGACCUGCAAAAUAAAAGGCAGUACUUCUUUUAACUGUGAUUUAUUGAUUUAGUUAUUAGCUGCAUGCCUUUUACUUCCAGGUAGCUACAUUCAUGGGGUAUUAUAAAAAAUAAUGCAGUGGGCACUGGGCAAAAGGAAUGCUUUCCUGAGAAUUCAGGAAGUGACUGUCAGCACCCUUGUCUCUGACCCAAAGUCUAAAUAAAGGCUACAUGAGAAAGGAAAUUGUAUAGGGUACUACUGUUACACCACUUUGAGCCACUGGAGAUGUCUUUCAUGUUCUUUUCAGUUAUUUGGAUUUCUAGACAGAGACGAGCUUUCUGCCAGUUGCCAACUGCUGCUGCCUUUGUGGCAGCAGUGAGAAAGCAUUGCAAUAAAAAGCAAAUUGUGUUCCUGCUACUGAAAAGCCUGAAAGAAUUCAAAGGUCCCCCAGAAAUCAGCGGUUGUUAAAGUGGCACAUGACCAGUGGAAUGGCUGGAUUUUUUACCUUAUGCAAAAGGCUGUCUGAUCAUGACCAGAGGACAGGACCUCCAGGAAUGUUCUGUUGAAGUCAGAAUUUCUGUGAGACUGCUCUGACCAGUGUGAAGGACAAAGGACAUUUUGUUUGGUGUGAAGGUUUCAACCCCCACUAUACAACGCAUUGGAAAGGAAAAACGAACCUUGUUUUUCUGUCUGAAGGAGGGGAAAAGGAAAAAUAAUAAAAAUGAAGAAAACUAAUUUAUGCAGAGAAUUGCACAUAUAAGUGGAAAAAUAUAACUCUGUGACAAAAAUACCUUGUCAUUCAAAUGAAGAAAUAAUAUCUAAAAAUUACAAAGAUCUGACUCUGGAAUAGAAUAUAAUUAUUUGGAGAAGAGAGAUUUCUUAAAGGGCUUGCAUCCCAGGCAGAAAAAAUCCCUAUGAAGUCAGAUGAAGGCAAAUAGUGAAAUCAGAGCUGCCAGUGAAGAUAAAAAUGGUAGGAUGUAUUAUUUGUGCUAACAGUCAAGCAAGAAACAUUGUUUUGGUAGGAAAUGAAUGGGACAAAUCUGACCUUCAUUAUGCCAGCUCCUCUGAAAUAUUAAAUAGAGUCAGUAGUGAAAUAAGGAUUAAGGCUAUUUUUGCUGUCACUGGAGCAGUUCAAAACAGUCUUUGUGGGGACUGAGAUCCAGCCAUAGGACUCUGUUAAUUAAAAUAGCCACUAUUAAGAUAUUUAUUGCCCCUAAUAAUCAUAGCUAUGUAAUUUGUACUAGAGUAAACAAAUCAUGCUUUAUAAGUUCCCAGUUGACUAUUACAGCCUAGUCUGUCAGCUGUCAUUUAGUUACAAAGCCAAUUUUCCAUGUAGUUUAUUUGCAUAAACAACAGUUUUUUUCAAAGAGCUUCACAGAAAAAGAAAUCACAUUAAACAAAAUUAAAAUUAGGUUAAAGUAAUGUUAAUAAACUGACAAGCUCCCCAAAGCCCAACUAGUCAAAGAUUUUUUAAAAAUUUCAUGCUGAGUUUUUUUGAUGUGUUCACCUCUCUAGGCAGACUUAUGCUGUGUUAAAAGAAUGAUCAUUACUGCUUCUUGAAUCCUGUUAAUUAUGCAUGUGUGAGCAGGGUUAUUUGUAAUUGGUCCCUCUCCAGAUAUUCUCUCAUCUCUCUCUGUUUUCAUGAAAAUUUAAAAAAUGUCUACACUGACUAUCAUUUACUCACUAAUAUCUCUCUCUGUUUAUAUAUUUCAGGCAUCCUUUGCUGAUGUGGGCCAGACUGGACAGAUAUUAUCACAUUAAUUUUAUAUGGAUGGACGAGUUGCAUCUGCCAGCUUGG